AUUGAACGCUGGCGGCAUGCCUUACACAUGCAAGUCGAACGGUAACGCGGGGCAACCUGGCGACGAGUGGCGAACGGGUGAGUAAUAUAUCGGAACGUGCCUAGUAGUGGGGGAUAGCCCGGCGAAAGCCGGAUUAAUACCGCAUGAGACCUGAGGGUGAAAGCGGGGGAUCGCAAGACCUCGCGCUAUUGGAGCGGCCGAUAUCAGAUUAGGUAGUUGGUGGGGUAAAGGCCUACCAAGCCGACGAUCUGUAGCUGGUCUGAGAGGACGACCAGCCACACUGGGACUGAGACACGGCCCAGACUCCUACGGGAGGCAGCAGUGGGGAAUUUUGGACAAUGGGCGCAAGCCUGAUCCAGCCAUGCCGCGUGCGGGAAGAAGGCCUUCGGUUGUAACCGCUUUGUCAGGAAGAAAUACUUCU
rnacentral:rRNA from 1 species